GACGAACGCUGGCGGCGUGCUUAACACAUGCAAGUCGAACGGUAAGGCCCUUCGGGGUACACGAGUGGCGAACGGGUGAGUAACACGUGGGUGAUCUGCCCUGCACUUCGGGAUAAGCCUGGGAAACUGGGUCUAAUACCGGAUAGGACUCCGGACUGCAUGGUCUGGGGUGGAAAGCUUUUGCGGUGUGGGAUGGGCCCGCGGCCUAUCAGCUUGUUGGUGGGGUGAUGGCCUACCAAGGCGACGACGGGUAGCCGGCCUGAGAGGGUGACCGGCCACACUGGGACUGAGAUACGGCCCAGACUACUACGGGAGGCAGCAGUGGGGAAUAUUGCACAAUGGGCGCAAGCCUGAUGCGACGACGCCGCGUGAGGGAUGCCGGCCUUCGGGUUGUAAACCUCUUUCAGCAUCGACGAAGCGAAAGUGACGGUAGGUGCAGAAGAAGGACCGGCCAACUACGUGCCAGCCGCCGCGGUAA
rnacentral:rRNA from 1 species